GAUGAACGCUGGCGGCGUGCCUAACACAUGCAAGUCGAACGGAGAUUACGGACGGAAGUUUUCGGAUGGAAGCCUGUAAUUCUUAGUGGCGGACGGGUGAGUAACGCGUGGGCAACCUGCCCUAUACAGGGGGAUAGCAGCUGGAAACGGCUGGUAAGACCGCAUAAGUCGGUUAAAUCGCAUGAUUUGAUCGGGAAAUGAGCAAUCAGGUAUAGGAUGGGCCCGCGUCCGAUUAGCCAGUUGGCAGGGUAAAAGCCUACCAAAGCGGCGAUCGGUAGCCGGACUGAGAGGUCGGACGGCCACAUUGGGACUGAGACACGGCCCAAACUCCUACGGGAGGCAGCAGUGGGGGAUAUUGCACAAUGGAGGAAACUCUGAUGCAGCGACGCCGCGUGAGUGAAGAAGUAUUUCGGUAUGUAAAGCUCUAUCAGCAGGGAAGAUGAUGACGGUACCUGACUAAGAAGCCCCGGCUAACUACGUG
rnacentral:rRNA from 1 species